rnacentral:lncRNA from 1 species
GCAAGUGGGUGUCCGGUCAAACAAGAGAUCACCAUGAGCACGUGGCUCAUCAAUUUAUAAGUUGGUAGACUUCUUUCAUCAUCAACAAUGUUGAUCAGUGGAUCUAGUUGCUCAAUAAUCCCUGACAAUAAAUGACAGUAUAAGUACGACCGUAUAAUGAAUAAAUCAAAUUGACAAAGUUUGUCAAGGUAACAUAUUGUACUAUGGGCCUUCUAUAAAUAAAUAAUUUAUUAUGUUGUGUGAUAAAUCACAUGUCGUAUAAGUGACAUAGUUUAAAGGCAAUCAUAUGUCACUAGGUAAUGAAUAAAUAUUGCACAAUGUGUAGCCUGUAAUGAUGUUCCUAGUGUGUGUGAUGCAGACAUCAAAUAAUAAAAUAAUAUAAAAACAUCGUGCGGACUAGCCUGUAUAUUUUCGACUGCCAACUCACCUCCACUUUCAGCAAAUAAAAUAAAAAAAGAAAAGUAAAGAUAUCAUUAUGCUGUUUGUGGGGAAGAUUUAAAGCAAGAGUUGGGAUAUAUUCACUUUAAGUGAAGAUACUCAAUCCGUGGAGAUAAGCUCCACUUUCAACUUUAUUACUCCAUUAGCAAUAGUGAAAGCUUUCGUGAAGUGUUAGCAAUCAUGUAAUAAAUAAUAUAAAAUAAUAAUAAGAUAUUUAAAUAAACAGAAAUAAUUUGUACGUGAAGUGUCAGCAAUCAUGUAGGAGAUGGAGUGCUUAUCCAACAGAAAUAAUAUAAAAUAUGUAAUAGGCAUCUUCACCGAGCAAAUAUGUAAUAAAUAAUAUAAAAUAAUAAUAAGAUAUUUAAAUAAACAGAAAUAAUUUGUAGAAGAUGGAGUGCUUAUCUUAUCCGAUGGAUUGUUGUCGGAGACUGCACCUUUCCUGCUGAGAAAUUGAAGCUCUUCCAUAAGUAACAACAAUC